ACGCGGCAUCCAGAUUAAUUUUGAAAACUCAUCCGGAUUUUUCGGGAUUUCUGGAUGAGAUGUUUGAACGCUUCCAACUACAGCAAACUCAUCCAAAAGUGCUAAAAGUCGGUAAUACCCUUAUUUUAUUUUAAAAAUUAUAAAAGUUUUGCCAUUAAUUUUUUUUAACCUAGAUCGUCGUAUCUCUUCAUCCUCCUCUCUUCAACCUCAGAUCUCUGCAACCAUGAACCUCUGAUCUCUCUCAGCCCUCUCUCUCUGUCUCUCUCUCUCUCAGGCAGUCUCUCUCUCUCGAACCCAUCUCUCUCUCUCACAGAGUCUCUCUCUCGAACCCAUCUCUCUCUCACGCAGUCUCUCCCUCUCUCAAGCUCUAUUGGU
rnacentral:lncRNA from 1 species